GGAAAGGGGGGGGUGCUUACCAUGCAAGUCGACGAUGAUGCCCAGCUUGCUGGGCGGAUUAGUGGCGAACGGGUGAGUAAUACGUGAGUAACCUGCCCUUGACUCUGGGAUAAGCCUGGGAAACUGGGUCUAAUACUGGAUACUACUUCCUGCCGCAUGGUGGGUGGUGGAAAGGGUUUUACUGGUUUUGGAUGGGCUCACGGCCUAUCAGCUUGUUGGUGGGGUAAUGGCUCACCAAGGCGACGACGGGUAGCCGGCCUGAGAGGGUGACCGGCCACACUGGGACUGAGACACGGCCCAGACUCCUACGGGAGGCAGCAGUGGGGAAUAUUGCACAAUGGGCGGAAGCCUGAUGCAGCGACGCCGCGUGAGGGAUGACGGCCUUCGGGUUGUAAACCUCUUUCAGUAGGGAAGAAGCGAGAGUGACGGUACCUGCAGAAGAAGCGCCGGCUAACUACGUGCCAGCAGCCGCGGUAAUACGUAGGGCGCAAGCGUUGUCCGGAAUUAUUGGGCGUAAAGAGCUCGUAGGCGGUUUGUCGCGUCUGCUGUGAAAGCCCGGGGCUCAACCCCGGGUCUGCAGUGGGUACGGGCAGACUAGAGUGCAGUAGGGGAGACUGGAAUUCCUGGUGUAGCGGUGAAAUGCGCAGAUAUCAGGAGGAACACCGAUGGCGAAGGCAGGUCUCUGGGCUGUUACUGACGCUGAGGAGCGAAAGCAUGGGGAGCGAACAGGAUUAGAUACCCUGGUAGUCCAUGCCGUAAACGUUGGGCACUAGGUGUGGGGGACAUUCCACGUUUUCCGCGCCGUAGCUAACGCAUUAAGUGCCCCGCCUGGGGAGUACGGCCGCAAGGCUAAAACUCAAAGGAAUUGACGGGGGCCCGCACAAGCGGCGGAGCAUGCGGAUUAAUUCGAUGCAACGCGAAGAACCUUACCAAGGCUUGACAUUCACCGGACCGCCUCAGAGAUGGGGUUUCCCUUCGGGGCUGGUGGACAGGUGGUGCAUGGUUGUCGUCAGCUCGUGUCGUGAGAUGUUGGGUUAAGUCCCGCAACGAGCGCAACCCUCGUUCUAUGUUGCCAGCACGUGAUGGUGGGGACUCAUAGGAGACUGCCGGGGUCAACUCGGAGGAAGGUGGGGAUGACGUCAAAUCAUCAUGCCCCUUAUGUCUUGGGCUUCACGCAUGCUACAAUGGCCGGUACAAAGGGUUGCGAUACUGUGAGGUGGAGCUAAUCCCAAAAAGCCGGUCUCAGUUCGGAUUGAGGUCUGCAACUCGACCUCAUGAAGUCGGAGUCGCUAGUAAUCGCAGAUCAGCAACGCUGCGGUGAAUACGUUCCCGGGCCUUGUACACACCGCCCGUCAAGUCACGAAAGUUGGUAACACCCGAAGCCGGUGGCCUAACCCCUUGUGGGAGGGAGCCGUCGAAAGGUGACUUGGGU
rnacentral:rRNA from 1 species